AUGAGAUUUGUUGCAAAUCAUGUGUUAAUGCAACUAAAGAACUAAAUAAAUGUGUAUAUGGUUUUCAAGUUUUCGAGAUGUGAGGAGUUUAAAGGUUAUGUCUAUGGUACUGUCACUCUUCUUUAAAGGAAAAUGAAGAUCUAGUUUAAAGUGCUUUCACCAAACAGGAGCAGAAUGAAAUGGAGAAACUUAAUGGAUCUCUUUCUGUGAAUAAAAUGACAGAAAAAAUAUCUAUUUUGCUCACAUAUUUUUCAUUCACAGACAGUUCAUUUCAGUAAAUAUCUUACCACCUGCACUUGUCUAUUUUCCAAGGUUUUUGGGAAAUUUCUGUAGGCCUUUAAUAUGAGAAAGAAUCUUGUGCACAGCUUUCUGCAUGAGUCCCUGGUAGGAAAGGACGUUUACAGUGUUAGGAAUGUUCUGUCCAUUUCUGGAAGGGGAUCAUUCACUUAUCAUGUUGUGUCUUACCCAGGACAUCUGUAGGAGAGAUUCUCCUUUUCUUCACCUUGCAUCUGCUCAGUAUCUUAAUCCCAAAUUGUGGGAGUGAAACUCUGGCAACCUUUAAGGAUAUAAUUUGCUUCCUAUUACAUUAUUUCUUCCUGUACAAGGGAGACCAAGUGUUUGUCAUUUACGAGUGU
rnacentral:lncRNA from 1 species